UACAGAGGUCUCAAGCGUUGUUCGGAUUCAUUGGGCGUAAAGGGUGCGUAGGCGGUUUGGUAAGUCUUGUGUGAAAUCUACAGGCUCAACUUGUAGUCUGCACGAGAAACUGCCGGGGCUUAGUAUGGGGAGAGGUGAGUGGAAUUCCUGGUGUAGCGGUGAAAAUGCGUAGAUAUCAGGAGGAACACCUGUGGCGAAAAGCGGCUCACUGGACCAUACUGACGUGAUGCACGAAAGCUAGGGGGAGCAAACAGG
rnacentral:rRNA from 1 species